GCUAGAGGACUAAGAAGGCUGAGUCUGAGGAAGCAAGACUCUGCUGAUGCAAUCCUCCUAGAAAAAAGGGUUGGGGAGAGCAGCCCUAGUCGGAGACUAUCACAGGGCUCACUGCACUACCCAACAUUC